UCGUAUUUCAACGUCAAAUUAGUAUUCUUCAAAGAUUUAACUUUUUUCCUAUCUAAUGCUAUUAUUUAUUUAUUUUAGAUAAGUUGAAGCAUUCAUAAGCCAACUCCUGUAAGCUUAGCGGGACCGUUUCAGGAUUUUUAUAAAUUUUUAGAAGCUCAUCCGACAACACAAGGGGCUGAAUGUUGAAAGACGAACACUCUUAACAAAUAAUGUACUCUGUGACGAACACUAAAAACAGAUGUGGUCACUUCACCACAUCUUUUGUUAUUUGAACCUUUUGCUAUUGACAAUAAUCACAAUAUGCUGAGCUGACCAUUUUGAGACGAUGAAGAACCAAGGUACGAAGAUUAACUUGGACAUCAAGAGUAUUUUCAUUGUGCACACGAUUACAUGAAUGUCUCCCCCAUGCUUCCCCCAUGCGUUGCCUUAAGAGACUAACUACAUCUGUGUAAGGGAUGCAAUAGCUGCUACCAAGAGGACAAUCAUGUACAUUCCAUUCACAAUUGAGAGCUAAAGAUGGUGAAACUAAUGUCAAAUCCAACGCAUUAGGAUGCCAAGUCAAAGAGCCAACAGUAGUUGCUUGAACAUCACUGAGCAGAACCAAAUUAUUAUCAUCAAUAACAUAUAAAAUGCUGCGUCCAUGCACAGAGUCCGAGCCACAGCCACAAGAGGUGUGAUGAGCAUUAUAAUCACCAGCCAAUAUGAAAAUUUCAGGAAUGGAUUUUAUUAAUAGAUCCAAUUUUUCCUUUGAGAAUUGCGGAUUACAAUUCAAAGGACUAUAAAGACUGACUAAACAUAAGUUAUUUACUUUUAUUUUAACACAAAUAUUUUGUAAUGAGUUAUCACAGAAAAUUUUAAUGUUAAUACUUUUAUGAAUGAUUAUUUCAAAACCAUUAUGUUUGUUGCCAAUAUAAUUUCUUUCAAUAUUAUAAAGUUUUAUUUUAAAAUCUUGUUGAGGUUUUAACCAUGUUUCACUAAUGAUUGCCAGAUGUAUAUUAUGUCUAUAAAGAAAGUCAAUAAAUAUAGGUUUAUUACUAUUUAACCUUUGUGCAUUCCAUGUAAUUAUCAUAUCAAAAUAUCCACUAACAGGCAGGAGAAAAUUCAUCAUGUAAAGUUGAUUUGAGAGCUUCUAUCGACAUUGAAUUGUUGGGUGUAUGUUUAUUGCUUAAAAUGUUUGUAAGUGUUCCACUAAUGUAUUUAUUUUGUCUGAUUUUAUAAGAUUAUUUAUUUGCGUGUCAAUGUUGCGUUAGAGCUGGGAAUGAAUUCACAUUAAAAAGGUCUGAGUAUGUGGCA
rnacentral:lncRNA from 1 species